rnacentral:rRNA from 1 species
AUUGAACGCUGGCGGCAUGCCUUACACAUGCAAGUCGAACGGUAACAGGUCUUCGGAUGCUGACGAGUGGCGAACGGGUGAGUAAUACAUCGGAACGUGCCCGAUCGUGGGGGAUAACGGAGCGAAAGCUUUGCUAAUACCGCAUACGAUCUACGGAUGAAAGCAGGGGACCGCAAGGCCUUGCGCGGACGGAGCGGCCGAUGGCAGAUUAGGUAGUUGGUGGGAUAAAAGCUUACCAAGCCGACGAUCUGUAGCUGGUCUGAGAGGACGACCAGCCACACUGGGACUGAGACACGGCCCAGACUCCUACGGGAGGCAGCAGUGGGGAAUUUUGGACAAUGGGCGAAAGCCUGAUCCAGCCAUGCCGCGUGAAGGAAGAAGGUUCUAUGGAUUGUAAACUUCUUUUGUAAGGGGAUAAAGUACACUACGUGUAGUGUUUUGUAUGUACCUUACGAAUAAGGAUCGGCUAACUCCGUG